UGGGGAAUUUUGGACAAUGGGCGAAAGCCUGAUCCAGCAAUGCCGCGUGUGUGAAGAAGGCCUUCGGGUUGUAAAGCACUUUUGUCCGGAAAGAAAUCCUUGGCUCUAAUACAGUCGGGGGAUGACGGUACCGGAAGAAUAAGCACCGGCUAACUACGUGCCAGCAGCCGCGGUAAUACGUAGGGUGCAAGCGUUAAUCGGAAUUACUGGGCGUAAAGCGUGCGCAGGCGGUUUGCUAAGACCGAUGUGAAAUCCCCGGGCUCAACCUGGGAACUGCAUUGGUGACUGGCAGGCUAGAGUAUGGCAGAGGGGGGUAGAAUUCCACGUGUAGCAGUGAAAUGCGUAGAGAUGUGGAGGAAUACCGAUGGCGAAGGCAGCCCCCUGGGCCAAUACUGAUGCUCAUGCACGAAAGCGUGGGGAGCAAACAGGAUUAGAUACCCUGGUAGUCCACGCCCUAAACGAUGUCAACUAGUUGUUGGGGAUUCAUUUUCCUUAGUAACGUAGCUAACGCGUGAAGUUGACCGCCUGGGGAGUACGGUCGCAAGAUUAAAACUCAAAUGAAUUGACGGGGUCAUAGCUGUUUCCU
rnacentral:rRNA from 1 species